GUUGACAUCAGCAAACCGCUCACCCACACAACGCCCUACACCCUGUCUGCCAUCUGUCCUUUACAGUGAAAACCGGGAUUCAUCGAUGAAGAGAACACCCCUCCAAAGUGCCAGACACCAUCGAAUGUGAACAUUUGCCCACUCAAGUCGGUUACAAUGACAAACUGCAGUCAGGUCGAGACCCACGAUGAGGAACGACGAGCAUGCAGAUGAGCUUCCCUGAGACAGUUUCUG